rnacentral:rRNA from 1 species
GACGAACGCUGGCGGCGUGCCUAAUACAUGCAAGUAGAACGCUGAAGGAGGAGCUUGCUUCUCUGGAUGAGUUGCGAACGGGUGAGUAACGCGUAGGUAACCUGCCUGGUAGCGGGGGAUAACUAUUGGAAACGAUAGCUAAUACCGCAUAAGAGUAGAUGUUGCAUGACAUUUGCUUAAAAGGUGCAAUUGCAUCACUACCAGAUGGACCUGCGUUGUAUUAGCUAGUUGGUGGGGUAACGGCUCACCAAGGCGACGAUACAUAGCCGACCUGAGAGGGGGGUCGGCCACACUGGGACUGAGACACGGCCCAGACUCCUACGGGAGGGAGCAGUAGGGAAUCUUCGGCAAUGGACGGAAGUCUGACCGAGCAACGCCGGGUGAGUGAAGAAGGGUUUCGGGUCGUAAAGCUCUGUUGUAAGAGAAGAACGAGUGUGAGAGUGGAAAGUUCACACUGUGACGGUAUCUUAACAGAAAGGGACGGCUAACUACGUG